GAGAGUGUGGCGUAGUGGUUUGAGAGUUGGACUGUGACUCUGGAGACCAGGCUUCGAUUCCCAGCUCAGCCA